UCAGACUUGAGACCGGGAGAAGUCAGAAGUACUUCAGGAGUAGGAGUAAAAUCCUGUAAUCCCUAAAAGACCACCAGUGGCGAAGGCGUCCAACCAGAACGGAUCCGACAGUAAGGGACGAAACCUAGGGGCGCGAACGGGAUUAGAUACCCGGGUAGUCCAGGGUGUAAACGAUGUAGGCUAGGUGUCAGUCNCUCUGCGAGGAUAGUCAGUGCCGGAGAGAAGUUGUUAAGCUCACCACUUGGGAAGUACGGUCGCAAGGCUGAAACUUAAAGGAAUUGGCGGGGGAGCAC
rnacentral:rRNA from 1 species